AAAUUGAAGAGUUUGAUCAUGGCUCAGAUUGAACGCUGGCGGCAGGCCUAACACAUGCAAGUCGAACGGUAACAGGAAGCAGCUUGCUGCUUUGCUGACGAGUGGCGGACGGGUGAGUAAUGUCUGGGAAACUGCCUGAUGGAGGGGGAUAACUACUGGAAACGGUGGCUAAUACCGCAUAACGUCGCAAGACCAAAGAGGGGGACCUUCGGGCCUCUUGCCAUCAGAUGUGCCCAGAUGGGAUUAGCUUGUUGGUGAGGUAACGGCUCACCAAGGCGACGAUCCCUAGCUGGUCUGAGAGGAUGACCAGCCACACUGGAACUGAGACACGGUCCAGACUCCUACGGGAGGCAGCAGUGGGGAAUAUUGCACAAUGGGCGCAAGCCUGAUGCAGCCAUGCCGCGUGUAUGAAGAAGGCCUUCGGGUUGUAAAGUACUUUCAGCGGGGAGGAAGGUGUUGUGGUUAAUAACCGCAGCAAUUGACGUUACCCGCAGAAGAAGCACCGGCUAACUCCGUGCCAGCAGCCGCGGUAAUACGGAGGGUGCAAGCGUUAAUCGGAAUUACUGGGCGUAAAGCGCACGCAGGCGGUCUGUCAAGUCGGAUGUGAAAUCCCCGGGCUCAACCUGGGAACUGCAUUCGAAACUGGCAGGCUUGAGUCUUGUAGAGGGGGGUAGAAUUCCAGGUGUAGCGGUGAAAUGCGUAGAGAUCUGGAGGAAUACCGGUGGCGAAGGCGGCCCCCUGGACAAAGACUGACGCUCAGGUGCGAAAGCGUGGGGAGCAAACAGGAUUAGAUACCCUGGUAGUCCACGCCGUAAACGAUGUCUACUUGGAGGUUGUGCCCUUGAGGCGUGGCUUCCGGAGCUAACGCGUUAAGUAGACCGCCUGGGGAGUACGGCCGCAAGGUUAAAACUCAAAUGAAUUGACGGGGGCCCGCACAAGCGGUGGAGCAUGUGGUUUAAUUCGAUGCAACGCGAAGAACCUUACCUGGUCUUGACAUCCACAGAACUUUCCAGAGAUGGAUUGGUGCCUUCGGGAACUGUGAGACAGGUGCUGCAUGGCUGUCGUCAGCUCGUGUUGUGAAAUGUUGGGUUAAGUCCCGCAACGAGCGCAACCCU
rnacentral:rRNA from 1 species